rnacentral:misc_RNA from 1 species
UGGUUCUGGCAUCGAUGUAGAACGCAGCGAAAUGCGAUAAGUAAUGCGAAUUGCAGAAUUUAGUGAGUCAUCGAGUCUUUGAACGCAUAUUGCGCCCUUUGGUAUUCCGAAGGGCAUGCCUGUCCGAGCGUCAUUAUCAACCCUCAAGCCUGGCUUGUUGUUGGACCCCGCCGUUAGACAGGUCCCAAAGACAAUGGCGGUGCCGGCUGGCCCUGACAUGCGACGAGCUUACAGCACGCAUGGCAGCGACAGCUGACUCGAUCUUUUAUCACAUCUUAAAAGGUUGACCUCGGAUCAGGUAGGAAUACCCGCUGA